rnacentral:rRNA from 1 species
AUAGCCUACAACACAACGUUAAUGCAUUAAAUCCCAUUAGAACUUCACAGUUAAGCCUGCUCAGGCUAGAGUAGUAUUGGGAUGGGUGACCGCCCAGGUAGUCCUAGUAUAUAUC